GCCGCCUAGCUCAGUCGGUAGAGCGCAAGGCUCUUAACUUUGUGUACCUGGGUUCAAGUCCCAGGGUGGGCG
rfam:Ipomoea nil DNA, scaffold: scaffold3056, cultivar: Tokyo-kokei standard.